GAUGAACGCUAGCGGCAGGCUUAAUACAUGCAAGUCAAGGGGGCAGCAAUGCAACCGGCGUACGGGUGCGUAACGCGUACAUAACCUACCUUUCAAUGGGGGAUAGCGUUGGGAAACUGACGGUAAUACCGCAUACGAUUUUCUGGGCGAGUGCUUGGGAAAUGAAAGACGAAAGUUGUUGAAAGAUGGAUGUGCGUCUGAUUAGGUAGUUGGUGUGGUAACGGCACACCAAGCCGACGAUCAGUAGCGGGCGUGAGAGCGCGAACCGCCACACGGGCACUGAGACACGGGUCCGACUCCUACGGGAGGCAGCAGUAAGGAAUAUUGGUCAAUGGAGGGAACUCUGAACCAGCCAUGCCGCGUGAAUGAAGAAGGCGCUAUGCGUUGUAAAGUUCUUUUCUCAGAGAAGAAAAGUUUGGAUUUAUCCGAAUCUGACGGUAUCUGAGGAAUAAGCACCGGCUAACUCCGUG
rnacentral:rRNA from 1 species